rnacentral:rRNA from 1 species
UAAGCGGAGGAAAAGAAACUAACAAGGAUUCCCCUAGUAACGGCGAGUGAAGCGGGAAGAGCUCAAAUUUGAAAUCUGGUAGCCUUCGGCUGCCCGAGUUGUAAUCUAGAGAAGUGUUUUCCGUGCCGGCCCAUGUACAAGUCCCUUGGAACAGGGCGUCAUAGAGGGUGAGAAUCCCGUCCUUGACAUGGACCCCCGGUGCUUUGUGAUACACUUUCAACGAGUCGAGUUGUUUGGGAAUGCAGCUCAAAAUGGGUGGUGAAUUCCAUCUAAAGCUAAAUAUUGGCGAGAGACCGAUAGCGAACAAGUACCGUGAGGGAAAGAUGAAAAGCACUUUGGAAAGAGAGUUAAACAGUACGUGAAAUUGUUGAAAGGGAAACGAUUGAAGUCAGUCAUGCUCUUUGGAUUCAGCCGUUCUGCGGUGUAUUUCCAUUGAGUGGGGUCAACAUCAGUUUUGACCGCUGGAUAAAGGCACUAGGAAGGUAGCACUCUCGGGUGAACUUAUAGCCUAGCGUCAUAUACAGUGGUUGGGACUGAGGAACGCAGCAUGCCUUUAUGGCCGGGAUUCGUCCACGUACAUGCUUAGGAUGUUGACAUAAUGGCUUUAAACGACCCGUCUUG